rfam:Megasphaera genomosp. type_1 str. 28L contig00036, whole genome shotgun sequence.
AGAGAAUCAUGCGACUGACGGAAGUGGAGUUACCACAGGGAACAUGGUUGUCGAUAGCCGACCGUCUGGGCAAAGUGU